GAGGGUGUAGCUCAAGUGGUAGAGCACAUGCUUAGCAUGCAGGAGGUUCUGGGUUCAAUCCCUAGUACCUCCU
rnacentral:tRNA from 1 species